CGUGUAGGCGGUAAUGUAAGUCAGACGUGAAAUCCUUUGGCUCAACUGAAGAACUGCGUCUGAAACUGCAUGACUAGAGUGCAGAAGAGGGAAACGGAAUUCCCGGUGUAGAGGUGAAAUUCGUAGAUAUCGGGGGGAACACCGGUGGCGAAGGCGGUUUCCUGGUCUGACACUGACGCUGAGGCGCGAAAGCGUGGGGAGCAAACAGGAUUAGAUACCCUGGUAGUCCACGCCGUAAACGGUGGGUACUGGGUGUGGGAGGUGUAAUGCCUUCUGUGCCGAAGCUAACGCGUUAAGUACCCCGCCUGGGGAGUACGGCCGCAAGGUUGAA
rnacentral:rRNA from 1 species